AGUGAACGCUGGCGGUAGGCCUAACACAUGCAAGUCGAACGGCAGCACAGUAAGAGCUUGCUCUUACGGGUGGCGAGUGGCGGACGGGUGAGGAAUACAUCGGAAUCUACUUUUUCGUGGGGGAUAACGUAGGGAAACUUACGCUAAUACCGCAUACGACCUACGGGUGAAAGCAGGGGAUCUUCGGACCUUGCGCGAUUGAAUGAGCCGAUGUCGGAUUAGCUAGUUGGCGGGGUAAAGGCCCACCAAGGCGACGAUCCGUAGCUGGUCUGAGAGGAUGAAUAGCCAAAAGGGAACUGAGACACGGUCCAGACCCCUACGGGAGGCAGCAGUGGGGAAUAUUGGACAAUGGGCGCAAGCCUGAUCCAGCCAUACCGCGUGGGUGAAGAAGGCCUUCGGGUUGUAAAGCCCUUUUGUUGGGAGAGAAAAGCAGCAGGUUAAUACCCCGCUGUUCUGACGGUACCCAAAGAAUAAGCACCGGCUAACUUCGUG
rnacentral:rRNA from 1 species